GACGUAGGGCGCGAGCGUUGUCCGGAUUUAUUGGGCGUAAAGAGCUCGUAGGCGGCUUGUUACGUCGUUCGUGAAAACUUGGGGCUCAACCCCAAGCUUGCGGUCGAUACGGGCAGGCUAGAGUUCGGUAGGGGAGGACUGGAAUUCCUGGUGUAGCGGUGAAAUGCGCAGAUAUCAGGAGGAACACCGGUGGCGAAGGCGGGUCUCUGGGCAGUAACUGACGCUGAGGAGCGAAAGCGUGGGGAGCGAACAGG
rnacentral:rRNA from 1 species